CAAGAGUACGUGAAACCGCUUAGGGGUUUAGCCUGAUGAACCUGAAUAUCUGAAUUGAGAAAUUCAAUGCUAUUUAGUAUUUUAUGUAAAAAUAAAUGAACAAUGGUAUGCACUUUUCUCAUAGUAGGACAUUGCGAUCCAUUAGUAUAUCUUUAUAGAUGGUUUAUCAAACGGCCUAUUGGGUUUGUUUAUUCUAUCUGUGACGCUUUUGUGUCAUAUGAAUAAUACCGAUGGUGACCUGGUAAACAGCUGAUGGAGCUUAACAAUCAUGCAACCAUGCAUAUGUAUCACAUUUUACGUAUUUCUAAUAUGUAGAUGUAGUGAUAGCAUGUAUUUGAUUAGCAAUGCGAUAGAUUUGGGAUACCUUCAGGACCCGUCUUGAAACACGGACCAAGAAGUCUAACAUGUGUGUAAGUCAUUGGGUAUUUGUUGAAACCUAAAGGCGUAAUUAAAAUAACUAUUUUAAUGGGAUUACAAGCAAUUUAAUAUAUUGUUUCUCCAUCCCGGGGCGUUCUAUAUGAACAUGGUUUAAGCAAUUAGACCCU
rnacentral:rRNA from 1 species